GGGGGAAAUUGGGAAAAAAUGGGGGAAAAAAUUGGGGGAAAUUGGGAAAAAUGGGGGAAAAUUGGGAAAAAAAAUGAGGGAGAAAAUUGGGGGAAAUUGGGAAAAAAUGGGGGAAAAAAUUGGGGGAAAUUGGGAAAAAUGGGGGAAAAUUGGGAAAAACAAUGGGGGAAAAAUUGUGGGAAAAAAUUGUGGGAAAAAAUUGGGAGAAAUUGGGAAAAUUGAGGGAAAAAUUGGGGGAAAUUGGGGGAAAAAAUGAGGGAAAAAUUGGGGGAAAUUGGGAAAAAAAUGGGGGAAAAUUGGGGAAAAAAAUGGGAGGAAAAUUGGGGGAAAUGGGGAAAAAAUUGGGGGGAGAAAUUGGGAAAAUUGGGGGGAAAAUUUGGGAGAAAAUUGGGGGAAAUUGGGAAAAAAUUGGGAAAAAAAUGGGGGAAAAUUGGGAAAAAAAAUGGGGGAAAAAUUGGGGGAAAUGGGGAAAAAAUGGGUGAAAAUUGGGGGAAAUUGAGGAAAAAAAUUGAGAAAAAUGGGGGGAAAAUUGGGAAAAAUGGGAAUAAAAUGUGGAUAAAGAGAGAAAAAUGGGAAAUAAAGAGAAAAAAUUGGGGAAAAAAUCAGGAAAAAAAGGAAUAAAAUGUGGAAAAUGCGAAAUAAAGGGGAAAAAUUGGGGAAAAAAUCAGGAAAAAAAGGAAUAAAAUGUGGAAAAUGCGAAAUAAAGGGGAAAAAUUGGGGAAAAAUCAGGGAAAAUCAGGGAAAAUGGGAAUUUUGGGGCCACACCUGGGAAUAUUUUCCAUCCUUGACAUCCUUCUGCCUGUUGAGGAACCAGUCAGGAAUUUUGUACUGGUCAGGUCGAUGUCGGCCUUGCGCAGCACCACGUGAGCGUAGCGCCGCCCCACGCCCUGCGGGGACAGCGAGGGGACAGUGUCACCAAAGUGUCACCAAAGUGUCACCAAUGUGUCACCAAAGUGUCACCAAAUCCCCCCAAAGUGUCCCCAAACACCCCCAAAGUGUCACCAAAGUGU
rnacentral:lncRNA from 1 species